rnacentral:rRNA from 1 species
AGUGAACGCUGGCGGUAGGCCUAACACAUGCAAGUCGAACGGCAGCACAGUAAGAGCUUGCUCUUACGGGUGGCGAGUGGCGGACGGGUGAGGAAUACAUCGGAAUCUACUUUUUCGUGGGGGAUAACGUAGGGAAACUUACGCUAAUACCGCAUACGACCUACGGGUGAAAGCAGGGGAUCUUCGGACCUUGCGCGAAUGAAUGAGCCGAUGUCGGAUUAGCUAGUUGGCGGGGUAAAGGCCCACCAAGGCGACGAUCCGUAGCUGGUCUGUGAGGAGGGUCGGCCACACUGGAAGUGAGACACGGUCCAGACUCCUACGGGAGGCAGCAGUGGGGAAUAUGGGACAAUGGGGGCAAGCCUGAUCCAGCCAUACCGCGUGGGUGAAGAAGGCCUUCGGGUUGUGAAGCCCUUUUGUUGGGAAAGAAAAGCAGCAGGUUAAUACCCCGCUGUUCUGACGGUACUCAAAGAAUAAGCACCGGCUAACUUCGUG